UACGGGGGGGGCAAGCGUUGUUCGGAAUUACUGGGCGUAAAGGGCUCGUAGGCGGCCAACUAAGUCGACUGUGAAAUCUCCGGGCUUAACCCGGAAAGGUCAGCCGAUACUGCGGGGCUAGAGUGCAGAAGGGGCAACUGGAAUUCUCGGUGUAGCGGUGAAAUGCGUAGAUAUCGAGAGGAACACCUGCGGCGAAGGCGGGUUGCUGGGCUGACACUGACGCUGAUGUGCGAAAGCUAGGGGAGCGAACGGG
rnacentral:rRNA from 1 species